rnacentral:lncRNA from 1 species
CCUGGGAAUGCAGGGUGUGGAAAGAGUUGUGCAGUCAUGUGGUGGUGGUUAAGAGUGGAGAAAAGGAAAGUCCCAGUAUUCUAAACAGUUUCUGGAGGAAUCAGGAGCAAAAGAAUCUACACACAGGUGAACACGUCGGCCAUUUUAUUUGAUGCUGUUGCGAGGCCCCUGGAGUGACUUGCAGGUUGGGGAGUGUGAAGACAGUCUCAUUCGCCUGGACAGUGAUUUUGUUUUAAUAUUGCCAAUGAAAAUAAUCCAUAACCAAUCCAUAAAUGAAAAUUUGGGGGCUGAAAGAUAAGAAGACAGAGAGAAGACAAAAUCUUAGGCUUCCUUCACUGCCAGUUUGUAGACAGUGGGGCCAAAUGAGCUCAUAUCCAGAAGCGAUUGAUUCAUUCUUCAUUCAGAUCCUUAUCGAGAACUCAAUUAAUGGCCUGCUAAAUCUGCACUUGCAUGACUACAUUCCCAGGCCCAUCACUAAAAACUUAAGUAGCUUUAAUUAGUUUUUAUUGAAAAGAAUAAAUAAUAUUUUUGGAGUUACUUUAUUGAGGCCUCAUUGAUGUCCUGGUGGUUGGUCAUACUUUCGGUAAAUACUGCAUGCGUGCCUGGAAGUGAUGCAUGUUCUUUAACUGCUGGGUGCAGUGUUCUCACCGUGUCCGUUAGAUCAAACUUGUUAGUGUUGUCCAAAUCUUCUACAGCUCUCUAGCUUUUUUCAUUUGUAUGCUUGCUUGAUUUGUAAAAUACAAAAGCAGCUCUGUUAAAUCCUCCCUUUAUGGUAAUUUGUCCAUUUCUCCUUGUAGUUCUGUGAUUUUUUGUUGGAUAUUUUGAUGAUAUAUUACUCCAUGCGUACAGGUUUACAAUGGUUUAUCUAACAAUUCUAUGAAGAUUUUAUCAUUAUCUUUUGACACUUUAUGUGUAGAAAUGCAUUUUUUCUUAAAUUCUCUAUCUGUUAUGAAUGUUGCUCCAGUAGUAUUCUUUUGAUGGUCUUUGCCUGAAUAUUUCUCAUUAAUUUUACCUGUAAACAUUUUGUAUAAUUGCAUGCCUGUACUUGGCAACUUGGUAAAGCCCCUCCCUAGCUUUAUUACAUAUUUUCUUAUCCCUUUAUGUGAGACUAUCUUUAGGAAUUAUGCUCAGUACUAAGCAUUUUGUAGAUUAUGGUUCAAAUAUUUUUAACUUGACUCAGUGCUGCCAAACUGUUUUCUGGAAUGUCUUCACCGGUCUGCCUUCUCCCAGCAGUUCACGUCAGCUUACUUUUCUAUACCUCCAUUCCUGCUGAGACUGGCAUUUUCCAGAUUUUUAAGUUUCCGGAUCUAAUUUGUGUAUAGUGAUAUGUUUUCGCUGUAAUGCGUAUUUCUCUGAUUACUCUUCAAUCUGAACAUCUUUUCAUAUUUUUAUAGACUGUUAGGUUUACUUGUCUGUGAAUUAUCUUUAUAAUAUUUACCCUUUUUAAAAUUAGAAUAAUUGUGUUUUUAUUAUUUGCAAGACUUUAUUUCCUAUUCCAGAGAUUAAUCUCUUUCAUUUGGGUAUUAACAAUAUCUUCUCCCAGUUUGACAUGUUUUUAUAAACUUUAUUGAAUAAAAAGUAUUCAAUUGGGUACCA